rnacentral:rRNA from 1 species
GAUGAACGCUGGCGGCGCGCCUAAUACAUGCAAGUCGAGCGAACGGACGAGAAGCUUGCUUCUCUGAUGUUAGCGGCGGACGGGUGAGUAACACGUGGAUAACCUACCUAUAAGACUGGGAUAACUUCGGGAAACCGGAGCUAAUACCGGAUAAUAUUUUGAACCGCAUGGUUCAAAAGUGAAAGACGGUCUUGCUGUCACUUAUAGAUGGAUCCGCGCUGCAUUAGCUAGUUGGUAAGGUAACGGCUUACCAAGGCAACGAUGCAUAGCCGACCUGAGAGGGUGAUCGGCCACACUGGAACUGAGACACGGUCCAGACUCCUACGGGAGGCAGCAGUAGGGAAUCUUCCGCAAAGGGCGAAAGCCUGACGGAGCAACGCCGCGUGAGUGAUGAAGGUCUUCGGAUCGUAAAACUCUGUUAUUAGGGAAGAACAUAUGUGUAAGUAACUGUGCACAUCUUGACGGUACCUAAUCAGAAAGCCACGGCUAACUACGUG